rnacentral:rRNA from 1 species
CCUACGGGAGGCAGCAGUAAGGGAUAUUGCGCAAUGGGGGAAACCCUGACGCAGCAACGCCGCGUGGGCGAUGAAGGUCUUCGGAUCGUAAAGCCCUUUUCUGGGGGACGAGAAAGGACGGUACCCCAGGAAUAAGUCUCGGCUAACUACGUGCCAGCAGCCGCGGUAAAACGUAGGAGGCAAGCGUUAUCCGGAUUUACUGGGCGUAAAGGGCGUCUAGGCGGUGUCUUAAGUUGGGCGUGAAAUCUCCCGGCUCAACUGGGAGGCUGCGUCCAAUACUGGGACACUUGAGGGCAGGAGAGGAAAGUGGAAUUCCCGGUGUAGUGGUGGAAUACUUAGAUAUCGGGAGGAACACCAGUGGCGAAGGCGGCUUUCUGGCCUGUACCUGACGCUGAAGCGCGAAAGCGUGGGUAGCGAACGGGAUUAGAUAC